GAAUAAAUCAACUCAAAGUAUCAUAGCUCUCUAAGGGUGAGUUUGGAUCCCAAACUCAUUUCAACUCAUCAUUACAAAAUUUUCAAAUCCCAACACAAAAUAUAAUAAACAAUUCAACUUUUUCAAAUCUCAAAAUAAUAAUAAUAU